UACGGAGGGAGCUAGCGUUGUUCGGAAUUACUGGGCGUAAAGGCUCGUAGGCGGCCAACUAAGUCGGACGUGAAAUCCCUCGGCUUAACCGGGGAACUGCAUCUGAUACUGGAUGGCUUGAGAUUGGGAGAGGGAUGCGGAAUUCCAGGUGUAGCGGUGAAAUGCGUAGAUAUCUGGAGGAACACCGGUGGCGAAGGCGGCAUCCUGGACCAACACUGACGCUGAGGAGCGAAAGCCAGGGGAGCAAAGCGGG
rnacentral:rRNA from 1 species